rnacentral:rRNA from 1 species
AUUGAACGCUGGCGGCAGGCCUAACACAUGCAAGUCGAGCGGCUGCAGGGAGCUUGCUCCUGGAUUCAGCGGCGGACGGGUGAGUAAUGCCUAGGAAUCUGCCUGGUUGUGGGGGAUAACGUCCGGAAACGGGCGCUCAUACCGCAUUCGUCCUGAGGGAGAAAGUGGGGGAUCUUCGGACCUCACGCUAUCAGAUGAGCCUAGGUCGGAUUAGCUAGUUGGUGGGGUAAAGGCCUACCAAGGCGACGAUCCGUAACUGGUCUGAGAGGAUGAUCAGUCACACUGGAACUGAGACACGGUCCAGACUCCUACGGGAGGCAGCAGUGGGGAACAUUGGACAAUGGGCGAAAGCCUGAUCCAGCCAUGCCGCGUGUGUGAAGAAGGUCUUCGGAUUGUAAAGCACUUUAAGUUGGGAGGAAGGGCAGUAAGUUAAUACCUUGCUGUUUUGACGUUACCAACAGAAUAAGCACCGGCUAACUUCGUG